GAUGAACGCUGGCGGCGUGCCUAAUACAUGCAAGUCGAGCGAACGGACGAGGAGCUUGCUCCUCUGACGUUAGCGGCGGACGGGUGAGUAACACGUGGAUAACCUACCUAUAAGACUGGGAUAACUUCGGGAAACCGGAGCUAAUACCGGAUAAUAUAUUGAACCGCAUGGUUCAAUAGUGAAAGACGGUUUUGCUGUCACUUAUAGAUGGAUCCGCGCUGCAUUAGCUAGUUGGUAAGGUAACGGCUUACCAAGGCGACGAUGCGUAGCCGACCUGAGAGGGUGAUCGGCCACACUGGAACUGAGACACGGUCCAGACUCCUACGGGAGGCAGCAGUAGGGAAUCUUCCGCAAUGGGCGAAAGCCUGACGGAGCAACGCCGCGUGAGUGAUGAAGGUCUUCGGAUCGUAAAACUCUGUUAUUAGGGAAGAACAAAUGUGUAAGUAACUAUGCACGUCUUGACGGUACCUAAUCAGAAAGCCACGGCUAACUACGUG
rnacentral:rRNA from 1 species